rnacentral:rRNA from 1 species
UACGAAGGGGGCGAGCGUUGUUCGGAAUUACUGGGCGUAAAGCGUGCGUAGACGGCUAUCUAAGUCGGGUGUGAAAGCCCCGGGCUCAACCUGGGAAUUGCAUUCGAGACUGAAUAGCUAGGGUGCGGUAGAGGGAAGCGGAAUUUCCGGUGUAGCGGUGAAAUGCGUAGAUAUCGGAAGGAACAUCAGUGGCGAAAGCGGCUUCCUGGACCAGCACCGACGUUCAGGCACGAAAGCGUGGGGAGCAAACAGG